rnacentral:rRNA from 1 species
ACGAACGCUGGCGGCGUGCUUAACACAUGCAAGUCGAACGAGAAUCUGUGGAUUGAGGAUUCGUCCAAAUGAAGCAGAGGAAAGUGGCGGACGGGUGAGUAACGCGUGAGGAACCUGCCUUUCAGAGGGGGACAACAGUUGGAAACGACUGCUAAUACCGCAUAACACAUAAGGGCCGCAUGGUCUUUAUGUCAAAGAUUUAUCGCUGAAAGAUGGCCUCGCGUCUGAUUAGCUGGUUGGUGGGGUAACGGCCCACCAAGGCGACGAUCAGUAGCCGGACUGAGAGGUUGACCGGCCACAUUGGGACUGAGAUACGGCCCAGACUCCUACGGGAGGCAGCAGUGGGGAAUAUUGGGCAAUGGGCGCAAGCCUGACCCAGCGACGCCGCGUGAGGGAAGACGGUCUUCGGAUUGUAAACCUCUUUCAGCAGGGAAGACAGAAAGGACGGUACCUGCAGAAGAAGCCACGGCUAACUACGUGCCAGCAGCCGCGGUAAUACGUAGGUGGCAAGCGUUAUCCGGAAUUACUGGGUGUAAAGGGUGUGUAGGCGGGACUGCAAGUCAGAUGUGAAAAUUACGGGCUCAACCCGUAACCUGCGUCUGAAACUGUGGUUCUUGAGAGUGGGAGAGGUAGAUGGAAUUCCCGGUGUAGCGGUGAAAUGCGUAGAUAUUAGGAGGAACACCAGUGGCGAAGGCGGAUUACUGGACGGUAACUGACGUUGAGGCUCGAAAGCGUGGGGAGCAAACAGGAUUA